rnacentral:rRNA from 1 species
UGGGGAAUAUUGGACAAUGGGCGAAAGCCUGAUCCAGCCAUGCCGCGUGAGUGAUGAAGGCCCUAGGGUUGUAAAGCUCUUUUGUGCGGGAAGAUAAUGACGGUACCGCAAGAAUAAGCCCCGGCUAACUUCGUGCCAGCAGCCGCGGUAAUACGAAGGGGGCUAGCGUUGCUCGGAAUCACUGGGCGUAAAGGGUGCGUAGGCGGGUCUUUAAGUCAGGGGUGAAAUCCUGGAGCUCAACUCCAGAACUGCCUUUGAUACUGAAGAUCUUGAGUUCGGGAGAGGUGAGUGGAACUGCGAGUGUAGAGGUGAAAUUCGUAGAUAUUCGCAAGAACACCAGUGGCGAAGGCGGCUCACUGGCCCGAUACUGACGCUGAGGCACGAAAGCGGGGGGAGCAAACAGG